CAACUGACCAAAAAUGAUGCACAGAAAGAAGCUAAGGAUUUUAGAUCAGGGAUGGGCCAUUCAAGAUAGUCAGUGAGGCUUUUCCGGUUUUGGUUUAAAACUCAAUUCCAUAAUACUGAGUUAGUAUUGGGGCUUUUCAUUUAUCUGCCUGUGUGAGGUGCUGUCACCUUGUUGGUAAAUUACUUAACAUUCAGCAAGACUUGAUCAUUUAAAGUCACCAGGGCUUAUGAGUAAAUUCCAUUAAACUUAAGGAACCACUAACCUUCAGACAAAUUGAUCUGGACUGUGU
rnacentral:lncRNA from 1 species